UAAACCCUUCCUACUUCUGAAUUAACAAAAGCUCAGCUCCGGCGAAUACAGAACCAGAAAACAUGGUUGUUCUAAGAUCGUUCUUCAGGCGAUCCCUUCACCCAUCUCUCUCCUCUUCUACUCUCCGGUGGAACCGCUCGCAUCAGGCCUCUUAUUCUUUCCAAUAUCAUCGCUCUCUGAGGGCUCAAUCUGCCUCUCCGGACCCGGACCCGGAUUCGAACCCGAGACCCAUCCCCUCACCCUCCGCCCCGUGCCUGCUACUGCUCGGAGACAAGAAAGUUCGUUGCUUUUACAGAUCCAAUAGCAACCCAGAACUCAACAAUAACCCAAUUUGUUUGGGUUCCUCCCAUGGCGGUUUAUCUUUGGCAAACCCUCAAGCGUUGAUGAAGAAUUUUGGCGGAGGGCUUCUCCCGUUUCGCAAUCGCAAUCUAGGUAACCAGCGACAUAAAAGCAGCCUAGUAGGAGCCUCAAAGACUGCUUCUGCAACAACUUAUCCUAAACCCUUCUGUGAAUGGCUAGCUGGAAUUAUCGAUGGCGAUGGAAGUCUUCAAGUUAACAACCAAGAACAUACUUCUCUUGAAAUUACUAUUGGACUUGAAGACAUAGCACUACUAAGAUAUGUCCAACAUAUGCUUGGUGGAAGUAUUAAAAUGAGGUCAGGUGCUAAAUCUUAUCGUUAUCGACUGCGUGAUCAGCUUAGUAUGAUUAAGCUCAUGAAUUGUAUUAAUGGCCACAUUAGGCAUUCGCCAAGGUUAAUUCAACUGCAUCGUGUCUGUCAAGUACACCAUAUUCCAGUACUUCUACCUGUUACACUGGAUUCCAAAUCGAACUGGUUUGCAGGAUUCUUUGAUGCUAAUGGUGCCAUUGGUAUGGCUAUGAAGCAUCAAAUACCUCAACUAAGUAUUCGAGUAACUAGUAAACAUCUGCAAGAUGUGGAGUCUUAUAAGGUUGUAUUUGGUGGAAAUGUCUACUUUGAUAGUGGUCGAAAUGGUUACUACGAAUGGUCUGUACAGAGUCCAAAAGAUGUUGCCACGAUUGUGGGUUACUUUAGAUCAACUACUUGGAGAAGUAGGAAAUCGAAGCGGUUUUUCCUUGUUGAUGAAUAUUACAUGCUUUAUGAUCUCAAAGCAUUUGAGCCUUCCAGUAUGAACCAUAAAGCGUGGCUAGCUUUCCUAGACAAAUGGAAUAACUUGGGGGUGUAGAAGUAGUCCACCUUUCUUCUAUUCAACCAUUUAUAUGUACUUAACUUUGUUCUAGAACCAUUACUUUGACACUGGAUAUAUAGGGUUAUUGGAAGGGUUAAGGAUGGUGAUUGGUAUACACCUAUGUAUUUGGGGAUUUGCAUUUUUCAUAUACUAGUGUGCUUUUGGACUUGGUGGCAUGUUGAGUGCAGAGGUUGUGAUUGAUAUUGGUGACGGUGUAGUGUUUUAGGGUUUAAAUAAAUGGGAUUAUUUUGUCAACCGAGAAGUUUAGUGGGGGUGUUGAGGACUAAUUCUGUGUAUUUUAAUGAGGCUCUUUCAUGGAUAGAUGCAAGGAUGGUUCUUGGAGCAUAUGCAGGACACCUUAAAUAUUUCAGUGAGAAUGAAAGACGGGAAUUAAAUGAGCUGUCCAAAGUUGGUCAGAUUAAGGAAUGAUGCAUAGAUAAGAGGAUUGGAUGCCAAGGGAUUCAUAAAUAACCCUUUUCUAAAGUGGCUGAAACAAGAAAGUUUUCAUUGUAUUAGCAGGACUUAUAUCCACUGCACAGGAAAGUUAAUCAGAAAUAGAGUUUGGAUUUUUAUUGCAUCUUAAAUUUUAUUAUUCAUAAAUGUAAUAAAGAUUGAUUGUGCCUCCUAAUUUUACUGUUUCAUGGAUUGAUUCAUCAAGCCUGAGCUUUUGUUUCUCUAUAUAUUUUGAAUUGAACUAAUGUCCUAUGAUGUUCCAUUCACAGCC